rnacentral:rRNA from 1 species
GACGGAGGAUGCAAGCGUUAUCCGGAAUGAUUGGGCGUAAAGCGUCCGCAGGUGGCAGUUCAAGUCUGCUGUCAAAGACCGGGGCUUAACUUCGGAAAGGCAGUGGAAACUGAACAGCUAGAGUAUGGUAGGGGCAGAGGGAAUUCCUGGUGUAGCGGUGAAAUGCGUAGAUAUCAAGAGGAACACCUGAGGUGAAGACGGGUUGCUGGGCUGACACUGACGCUGAGGCGCGAAAGCUAGGGGAGCAAACGGG